UUGCAUCUCUACUGGGUGUCCAUACACCCUCGUGGAGUAAAACCAAAAGAAGGUGUCCUAAAUAAAGAAAAAGGUGGAUUUGUGUGAUUAUCUUUGGUAGGCUGGUCUGGCAAUGUGGAUUUCCGGGUCAUUAUGGGCUGAGUCUGCUCUGUAAUGCCACUAACAAAAUCGCCUUAUACUUUAUGCUUUCCUUUCUUCUUUUUCUUUUCUUUUUAGCUCUCAAAAUCACAGCUGAGGUCAUUUCCUUUCCGUACCCAAAGCCAAACCUUUUUUCUUUUCUUUUCUUUUUUUUUUUUUUUUAACUUUUUGGAAUAACAGUCAUGGCUGCCUUGCCCACGUCCGAAAGCACAAGUCUUUUGGAAUAAUUGAAUGGCCAUUUUGAUUUCUUCUCCUUUAGUAAAAGGCAUGUUAAAAAAAAUAAUAACAAUAAAGAAAGAAAAAAAAGAAACUGACUUUUUCUUCAACUUGGAUAUAUAGUCACUAUAAGGAUCAUCCCAUUUUGAUUUAUUCCUCCUCCUCAAUUCUCCCUAAUUAUGGUUUCCAGACAAGGUUUCUUUUCCUUUUGCCCC
rnacentral:lncRNA from 1 species